rnacentral:rRNA from 1 species
UACAGAGACCCCGAGCAUUAUCCGGAUUUAUUGGGCGUAAAGAGUUCGUAGGUGAUUUUGUAAGUCAUUUGUUAAAUCUUCAUGCUCAACAUGGAGGCUGCAGGUGAUACUGUAAGACUCGAGUACGGGAGAGGCAUAUGGAAUGCCCGGUGUAGCGGUAAAAUGCGUUAAUAUCGGGUAGAACACCAAAGGCGAAAGCAAUAUGCUGGAACGUCACUGACACUCAAGAAACGAAAGCGUGGGGAGCGAAAGGG